AAUAAUUCAGCAAACUGCAUAACUUAUAAACCUGCCAAAACAAGCACCCCACGCCGCGCCGCCCUUCCCCUUGGAAAAAAACUACGAAACAAGCAAACACAAAAAACAAAUUCCAAAAAAUCAUAAAUAACUAAAACCUUGUAAACAUGUGCAUAAUCCAACAAGACCCGAAACAAAAACAAUGAACAAUGAAGGGCAGACCAGUUAAGCUGAGGCCCAACAACGAUAUAAAAAUCACAUACAUAACCGAGUUACUUUUAAUCCUCGACACACAAUCGACACAUUAAUUUAUCACUGGGAGCCAAAGCAAAAGCCUUUCAAUUAAUUCCAGAGCACAUCACUCGACGGGUGGCCCAGACCCCAGCUAGAAAAAGGACUCUAUAAAUACUUUAUCGCCGACUGGCGACUGUCGGACAAUUCGGCUUUUGGGCAUUUCUAGCAUUUCUGGCAUUUGGCAUAUUGACUUAUGAGCACUGAUUUGGCAUCUAUCUUCACAGCUUGCCUUCAGCCAGUUACUCAUCUGAGCGAGUGCAUUUUUGGCAGGCAGUCAGCCGAUGCAUUUUCAGCAGACCGCAAGAUCUGCAAAUGUCUUACUACCCUUCUUCCCCAUUAUGUAUACAAACGACGAAGCUACUUAAAACAGGCGCCAAGAGCAGCUGCUAAUGGGAUUACACUAGGCAUCGUGGAUUCAGCUUGUGGAGAAAAUUUGGCAAGGUUGACAAGGUUGUUGCUGCAGCCCACAAUAUACAUGGGCGAGCUGACAAAAUAAACUGAUGGAUACACUUGGCAUAUUGUACAUAUGCAAAUGCCGGCAGCAAUCGGGCCUAGACAUGCCAAUGCGAGCCAAGAGAAGCCGAGCCGAGCUCAAGCUGUAAAGGAUGUGGCGUCGACAUUCUUCUUGUCUGCCUCAACUUCAAUUGUAUGCACUUCGUGGCAGUGGCAGUGGCUGUGGCAGUGGCAGUGGCUGUGGCUGUGGCAGCGGCAGUGGCAUAUGAAUGCUUCUGCUUAAGGAUUGCUGUCUCCUUUUUGCUCUGCCAUACGAAAAUUAUGCAAAAUAGUAGCAAAGUUUCAAUUUCCUCGCCAGCAAAACUAGAGGAAAAAAAAAAUAAAAUGAAAAGUAAAAUAAAAGAAAUAAAACUGAAUGAAAGGAUGAUGUGCACGCCAAGGAGCGAAGCAUUGAGCAGAGUGCAGAAAUGUUGAAAAUAAAGAAAAUGCAAAGUACAAAAUUGUGGUCUCGUAUAAAUAAGCGUAACUUAUGAAAAGUUAUGAAAAACUUUUGCUUUACAAGGCAAUACGUAAUUUGGAAUGUAUGUGCGAGCUGAAGCUAAAACUCCCCCCCUGGACAUUUUGGAAGUCAGCGAUCUGUAGACAAAAUUUGACAUACAACUUUUUCGGGUUUUAUACGUUGUGCGUACUUGUCAAAUACGAUGAAAAUAAUAUUGAAAACGACACAUGCAAAAUAUUUCAGUGUACAUAUUUUCAAUAUGGCCAAAUAUUACUGUGGUUACAGUGGAACAAAUACAAUUGCAGGUUUCUUACCUAACAUUAAAAGAUUAACAUAAAAAACGAGUUUCUCGAAA